UACGGGGGGGGCAAGCGUUGUUCGGAAUUACUGGGCGUAAAGGGUUUGUAGGUGGCCUGCUAAGUCGGACGUGAAAUCCCUCGGCUUAACUGGGGAACUGCGUCUGAUACUGGUUGGCUUGAGUUUGGGAGAGGGAUGCGGAAUUCCAGGUGUAGCGGUGAAAUGCGUAGAUAUCUGGAGGAACACCGGUGGCGAAGGCGGCAGCCUGGACCGACACUGACACUGAGGAGCGAAAGCCAGGGGAGCAAACGGG
rnacentral:rRNA from 1 species